GACCAUUUUAUAAGGCACAACUAAGUCUGAGGAUUCAUAUAAGAAGGGAUAGUGUGGCUUUGGGAAUUUCCAAGGCUUAGUGAGGUGUUUUGUGUUGAAUAUUUUGGGAUAGGCUGUGGAUAGAAGGGCUGCAGCUUCAUUGUAAGUUUGAUUAGGCCUUUUUCGAGGGGUUCGAGGUUUUCUAGUGGAAACAGCAAUAGGAGAAUUGCUAGAUUCUGAAAGAGUUGAAGAAGGUGAAGAUGAUUGUGAAGUCCAUGAAUUAGAUGGAGAUUUUAUAAUAUCUAAAUCCAAUUUAUAAGCUGCCCUUCCACCACCCGUUAACCAAGAAGACAUUGUGCUAAAAGAGAAACAGGGGAAAAACAGAGAAGAAAUUCAAGAAUUGAAAUCUUGGAAUUCAAUGAUGAAUUCUUGAAAACCCCAUUAAGCAAUUCAGACUUAAUUCUCAAAAAUCAGGUGAAUUCUUAGGCCUGCAAAUCAGAACUGAACUUCCAAAUUGGGAAAGAACAAAGAAGAAGCUAGAGAAAAAGUACCAAUUGGCAAGAAUUGUAUUGGUUUUGGUGAAGUUUUCCAAAGAAGUACUAUGUUUUUGUAAGGACAUAAACCAAAAUAGUACAAUAACAGACUCUUAAACCCUAAAAAGUACACUCUUUUUCACUAUAAACCAAACUUUCCAAAGCAUUUUCUUUUUGCAGCACUAGUUCACUCUAACAUUUAAAAAAGAAAUUUGGCUUCAACUCACCAAACAAAACAAAUGGACAAUGGAUAAACAAACCACUCUAUCAUCAAGUCAAAACUCAAGAAAGAGAGAAUUUGCUUGGAUUUGCCCUUUGGCCAAGAAUUGAGCUAAGGAAGAAGAUGAAGCACUGAAUUCAAGAAAGCACUUUGAAAAAUGGGACUUUUGGUAGAGAAAUAUCUAAGAAUGGAAAUGAGGGUAUAAAGGAAUUCAGAAGGGUUUUAGGGUUGGCAUAUGUAUAAAUAUAGAAAGAAAGAGAAAGAGGGGUUUUAGGUACAGUGGUCACGGGAGAUGUAUAUGGAGGAAGAUAUAAGGCUAAGAUUUGUUGAUGAGAGACGGUUUCUCUCUGUGUCUGAAGAGAUUGGGGUGUAUCUGAAUACAGAGGAAAAGAACAAACAAAGGCUACAACUAUUGAGUGGACCACUAUUGCUUUGUGUAACAAUUUCCCUAUAUAUACUUUUGCAUUACAAUCACAUAUUCUCUUCGAUAAUUUGCUAAAAUGCCCUUACAAAAGCAUUAUUUCUAAGAAAAUUAUUUUAACCUUCUUGAUAAUUUGUGAUGAGAGUAUAUGACUUGUUAUGUCUUUCAUAAGAUAUGAUUCUUCGAAUCAAAGAUUCAAAUCUGACGAAUUAAGAUCUUGAAGCGGAAACGAUUGUUGAAUGAUUAGUUUAAAACAAGUUCAAGCAUGUUCUAGUUCUCAAAAGAAUUACGACACUUAAUAAACAUUAGAAGUGAAAUCAAAUACAAAAUGAUUUGUCAAAUAUAAUACAAAUUUGUAUUGUUAACAAACUUUAAAUUGCUUGAUCUCUGCCUCCUCGAAUAUGAUAUAUUUGCAAUUACAAAUUAAGAGAUAGGUUUUUCUUAGACGAGGGGAUUUUCCGAUGACAGUGGUGUCUAGCCAAUUUGUGCGUAUCUCGAGUAAUUUUAUCAAAUAUUCGUAACCUCCCACUAGCACAAGUACGGGAUAACUAUACCCACCUAUUAAAAUUUGAAUAGAGAGAAGAAGAUUUUCUUUCCGGAUAAGGGUAUGAUUUGCCCCUUUACUAUCAUAAAUACGCUUUAUUUACCCUCAGUUUAAUUUUUCUAUCAAAAAUAUCUUUACCGUUAUACAUUAGGUUCAUAUUUACUCCUUACACGUUAAAAAUGGUUACAUUUGCCCUUCGUUAUACUUUAGGAUCAUAUUUACCCUUCUACUCUUCAAAAAGGGUUACAUUUGCCUUUCGUUAUACUUUCUUGACAUAUUUAUCCUUACAAUUAUACCCUACAUUUAUCCUCAUCCGGUAGAUCGCCAUGUCCCACCUUUAUUUUCCUACAUGGGGCCUAUAUGGAUUUCUUUUUCUUCUAAUUUAAAUAUGGUCACCUAUUUAAGAUAAUUUAACCUGCCCACCCAAUUUAAAUAAGAUACACUAACUAAAAUAAAUGGAAAUCAUAAUUCCCAAUCCCCUCCCCCCCUCCCCCACUCGUCCAUCUCUCUUCUCCGGGUCAGCUUCAUGUUUUUCGGAGAGCGAGAAAAUUUUGGACAGUGCACUAGUGAACGAAACUAUAGUGUUAUCUCUAAUUGAUUUAUUUAAUUAUUUCACACAAUUUAUGAAGAUUGUGUGAAAUACAAUAGUUAUGGCAGCGGCAACAUAUUGGCAAACAAUAACUUUAAACUCAAAAUCACUAAUCUAAUACAACUCACAAUUAUUGCAGUAACCAAAGUAAAUUAUAAAAAGUUUCACAACAAUGGAGUUAAUGAAGUCUUAUUUAAAUUGGGUGGGCGGGUUAAAUUAUCUUAAAUAGGUGACCAUAUUUAAAUUAGAAAAAAAAAAGAAAUCCAAAUAGGUGCCAUGUAGGAAAACAAAGGUGGGACAUGGCGAUCUAUCGGAUGAGGGUAAAUGUAGGGUAUAAUUGUAAGGAUAAUAUGUCAAGAAAGUAUAACAAUGGGCAAAUAUAACCCUUUUUGAAGAGUAUAGGAGUAAAUAUGAUCUUAAAGUAUAACGAAAUGCAAAUGUGACCUAUUUUAACGUGUAAGGGGUAAAUAUGAACCUAAUGUAUAACUGUACAGAUAUUUUUGAUAGAAAACAUAAACGAAUGGUAAAUAAGGCCUAUUUAUAAUAGUAAAGAGGCAAAUCAGACCCUUAUCCGUUUUUUUUUCACAACUGGUUGAAAAUUCACCUUUAUCUUUGUGGAUUUGAAUGUGUUAAACACAGCCCAUGUUCUCAACUGUAUAUUAAGUAACAUCUUUCUAAAACUCAUUCCUUGUUGUAUUGCAAUCAUCACAUGUAAUGAGGACUGAGGUAGAUGCUCUACAAUCCUUUACCUCUUCUUCCUUUUUCAUUUUUUUUGCCUCUUGUUGAUCUCGUGAAUUGUAUAGAAAUGUAUGAUAACGUGAUAAAGUUUUGUGAACUUGAUCUUGUAGAAAUGAAAGAUAAGGUUAUCUACGAUAGACCUAAUAAUAUCGUCUAGUGUUUCUCAGAAUCUACACAUCGUCGGUGUUUAUUAUACCAACUUGCCAUUCUGGUCUAGAUCAAUUCAAUUAUUUCAUUUGUUGUUGUAUUAGGCUGAUAAAUUAGGAAUAUGUAUUGUUAUUACAGUAUAUUAACUGAUAGCAAAAUCUACUAUAUAUAUAUAUAUAUAUAUAUAUAUAUAAAAGAUGUCGGAACUGGAUUUUUUGUCUGAAAAACAUUAUCUAGGUGCAAAUGAAACUAGAGAAGGAAACAAACAAAGCAAACAUGAGAAGAUGAAAAAUUUCAACUAUUCUGCUUCAUAUUCAUUGUCUUAACUAGUCUAUCUUCCUCGGUACUUUUAUUCUAAUUGUAACAAGGCAGAAUAACUUUAAAAAGAAAAAUAAUGAAAUAGAAGUAACAAAACUGAAAAUAUCCAAAAAUAAAAAGGGAAAAAUAUCCUAAAAUUCUAGAUAAAUCAACUCUUCAUCCUAGCUCUCUCUCUCUCUGGUGAAUUUGGGCUUUUCACAAACCGACCCUGCAAGAAUUAAGAAAAAUAUAUAUUUGAGGUCCAAAUAGAAUAACGAUAAAUUGGGGUGUGUAUAAAUGAUUUUAAAGAACUUUAUAGGUUGAAUUGAAAUUAGCUUGUACAAAUACAACCGGACUCAAUUCUUAUCAAUGUCAAGCCGAAAUUAAGAGACUACUAAUGACAUGAAAUGGGAUUAUACAGUAAAUACCAAUGAAAAAAAUGGAACCUAAUUUACUUAUAUUGAUGUUAAUUAAGUGGAGUUAUACGUACUUCCAAAAGAAAACACUUUCUUGCCCUUCGUUAGUUUUAUUUAUAAUUCCGUUUAAUAAUAUAUGUCCAAUGAACGAGGAUUUAAGAAAAAAAUUUAAACGAAUUCUUAAACCUAUAAUCGACUUUUUCCUUUCAAAAUUCUCAAGAUUACCGAGUUAUUUGGAAAAACAAUUCAUUUAAAAAAUAAAAUAAAAAGAGAACCGUACUUACUCCAACUAUACCAAAAGUCCAAAAGUGAUUUGAAAAAUAAACAAUCAUUCAGAAAUGAUUGCAAAUGUCUAUUUUUACUCUUUUUUUUAAUUUUAUUAAAUGAAAAAUGCUCCCUAUCAUAAGUUUUUAAAUUCUUGAAACUUUAACUCGAACAUCCAAUUAAAUAGAUUUUUUUUAUCAUUUCACCCCAACCCUUAUUAAUACAAAUAUCUAUCGUUAAUCAUGAAAAUAAAAACAUCAUUCCCUAAAGUUAAAUGCCUUUAUAUGACAUUAUAGAUCUCCACAAUGUGAUUUUAACUUUGCUACCAAAAUGAUUGAGGUAAGAGUUCAUUUUCUAAUGUUAGUGGUCAAAACAAAGAAAAGUUUAUCUUAUGUUUGGAGAAAUAGAAAUAUGGCUCAUUUGUUCCUUCAUUGAAUUAUAUUAAGAAAACGGAAAAGAAUGUAUAGAAAAUUGUAGGGACAAUGAUUUACUGAUUAAAACAAAUAGACACCUUCUUAAUAUCAUAUAAGCCUGAAAAUAAGGGAAAGGAAGCGAAAGGAAGGAAUAAUUUUCCUUUCUUUUGUGAAAAUGAAAAAGGAGAACCUUCCUUUCAAAUAUAAUAAUAAUAAUAAAUAAAUAAAUAAAUAAAACGAAAUAUUAAUCGAACACUUGAAGUACUAUAAACUCAUUAAGACCGAAUUUAGAAAAUUUAGAGGCCAAAUUACAUUUUCAUAAAACUCAAGCUGCUCUUUUCAUGAUGAGUUUAACUUUUAAAUAUUGAUAAUGCAAGAAAUUCUUUAUAUUACUAUCUAGAAAAUAACUAAAGGUAAACUACAAAUAAUAAAGAAAAUUAUUGACUUAAAAAUAUGAUAAGCAACCAGCUAAAACAAGCUAAAUUUAUUGAUAAUAUAAAAAUUCUUUCACGUAUCAAUGUAUCUAAGCUAAAUCCUUUCAUAAUAACGGUACCUUCAUUCUGGGUCGUCGGUCAGCGUUGACUUUUCUAACUUGAUAUCUAAUUUUUUUAGAGAACAAACGUGUGCGUCGUUUUUCUUUGUAACGUAACACACUAGCCUCUCUUAUUCCUCCAUUCUCUGAAAAUAAGUCUAUUUGUGCUAAUCUGGCCUGCAUACAAAUUUAAUUUAAGAAAAUCAGAAUCUCGAAAAAUAAAAAAGGAAACAAAUUAUGUCAUAUUCCUAUACAUUCUUCAAUUUUAUUGAUUUUAAAUAGUUCUAAGAAGAGAAAGAUGCCACCAAGAAGGAAAGCACAAAAGGGUGAAAACAAUUACAUAAUUACAAGACACUCGAUAUUAUAGAAUAUGCUCUUGACAGAAUGACCUACUUGAAAUAGUAAUAAAUAAUUUGAUAAUAAAACAAUGUCAUUAUUUCUUUUGGAAGCAUUUAUUACGUUAACAACAUAUUCUUGAAUAAAAUAUUAAGAAAAGUAAUAAAAAAAACUAUAGCAAUCAUUAUGUGUUGUUGUAUGUUAAGGAUGCAUAGACGUAGUUAUUUCGAAAACGGAAAUAGAAAAAAAUAAUAAUAUUAUUAAAAAGAAUAGAAAAAAUAUUGAACUUUUCUAAUUUUGUAAAAGAGUACAUUAGUGUGUCAAAAAGGUCCCACUUUCAAGCUGGAAAGAAGUAGACUGUAACAUCGCUUUGAUGCCAACUACCAAUUUGAAUAUUAUGUCAUGAAUUGCACAUAAAGGAAAACGAGUCAAAUAAAAAGCAGAAAACUUUUAAAAUAUAUAUAUACAUUUAAGAAAAUAUAGAAAGAGAAAAGCGUGAGAUGCACGUGUCGUGGUCCAAAGGUAUGUUGCAGUUUAUCUUAGUAUGCUACCACUUUUAACUAAAAUAACAGAAUCAAAGUUUCAAUUGCUCAUGGAAUUCCAAAGACACUUACUUGGACAUCAUUUCCGGCAGCCUCCGAUCCCGGAAUUUCAUCGGAGAACGGCGAUUCCUUAUCGGACCACGCGUUCAAAACGUUGUUGUAGUUCAAUUUUAGAAGCAACGUCGAUUUUGGUUUUGGAAUGUCGACCUCUUCUUUGAUUGAUUGACUUGAAUUAUCCUUGUUCGUCCUCUUAGUAAUUGAAUUAUCCUUUGCUGAUGAUGAUUCUGAACCCCUUAAUUCCACCGGUUUCUCUAAUUUCUUUUUCUUCUUUUCUACCGGCGGUUUGAAUUUCGGUGUAAUGUCGAUAACAUUUACACUAGGAUACUUCCACCAAUCUCCGUCAUCAACAUUUCUCAAUGGUCGCACCCCACUUCUCAUGCCAAAAUCAUAUUGGUAUCUAUUUUCAAAUCCUAGUCCUAUUGGAAAACCAUAACAUGUACCAAAAUUGUGUUGGUGGCUGCUAUUGCUAUAACUAAAAUUGGACUCAUUCAAUGAUUCAUUCUCCACAUUUAGCUUCCCCAUAAUACUAUCAAUAUUGACACUCUCUUCAAUUUCCUCAUCCAAAAUUGACUCUGCAUCAAAAUCUUCUUCAAAUUCAUCACAAACCUCUAAUGAACUACUGCCUUUGGAAUCAAUUUCCCCUGGACUUUGGCAUGGCUUGUCACAAGAAUUCACUAACCUUUGCUCAAUUGGGCAAUUGGGUUUUUCUAGCAAUGGAGGAUGGAGUAAAAAACCCGAAUUUUCGACCAUUUGGUAAGGCACAACCAACUCUGAGGAUUCAUAUGAGAAGGGGUAGUGUGGCUUGGUAAAUUUGCAAGGCUUAGUGAGGUGUUUUGUGUUGAAUAUCUUAGGAUAGGCUGUGGAUAGAAGGGCUGCUGCUUCAUUGUAAGUUUGGUUAGGCCUUUUUCGAGGGGUUCGAGGUUUUCUAGUGGAAAUUGCAAUAGGAGAAUUGCUAGAUUCUGAAAGAGUUGAAGAAGGUGAAGAUGAUUGUGAAGUCCAUGAAUUAGAUGGAGAUUUUAUAAUUUCUAAAUCCAAUUUAUAAGCUGCCCUUCCACCUCCAGUUAAACAAGACAUUGUACUAAAGAGAAACAGAGAAGAAAUUCAAGAAUUGAAAUCUUGGAAUUUAAUGAUGAAUUCUUGAAAACCCCAUUAAGCAAUUCAGACUUAAUUCUCACAAAUCAGGCGAAUUCUUAGGCCUGCAAUUCAGAAAUGAACUUCCAAAUUGGGGAAAAAAGUGAAGUAUGAAAUAACAUGAAGAACAAAAGGAACCAAUUGGCAAGAAUGUAUUGGUUUGGUGAAGUUUUCCAAGGAAGUAGUGUUUUUUAUGGGAAAUAGACCAAACCCCUAUAAAGUAUACUUUUUCUCACUAUAAACCAAACUUCCCAAAGCACUAAUAUAAAUUUAAAAAAAAGUCAAUGAACUAAACACUUUUCAGCACCAGUUCCCUCUAUACUUGGUCCAAGAAUCCACCAGAAACAUUAAGAAAAAUUUGGCUUCAACUCACCAAACAAAACAAAUGGAGUAAAAUAAACAAACACCUCUUAGAAUUAACUAACUCCGAUCCAAAAGAAUCUAACUUAAGAAGAAGAGAGAAUUGAGCUAGGAAAGAAGAUAAAGCACUGAAUUCAAGAAAGCACUUUGAAAAAUGGGAAAUAUCUAAGGAUGGAAAUGAGGGUAUUUAAAUAAAGGAAUUCAGAAGGGUUUUGGGGUUUGGCAUAUGUAUAAAAAUAAACCAAAUAUAUAAAAUGGAACCCUGAGAAAUAGAAAGAAAGAGAGGGUUUUAGGUACAGUGGUCACGGGAGAUGUAUAUAGGAAUAGGAAGAUAAAAGGCUAAGAUUUGUUGAUGAGUUCACUAGAUAUAGCAGAGACAGUUCCCCUCUGUGUCUGUGAAGAGAUUGGGGUGUUUUGGCCUUUGAGUGAUUGAGAUCAG
rnacentral:lncRNA from 1 species